UGUUAAUCCAAAACCUUCAUUUUUAUUGAUUUUUCUUAAUAAAAAUAGAAAAAGAACACAGCCUGCCAUUAUUGAGGGCAGUGGCUACAGCCAGCGCUGUUAUAUUGUAGAUUUCCAUGUACUCAAAAUGAAGGAAUUAUUUUAAUCCUCAAUUUAUAUUUUUAAUAGUCAGCACCGGGCUAAUCAGGAAUACAUAUUAUCACGUGACAAUUCUGACACAAGCUUUCUUUCCCCCACACCGUGUCAGAGAUUUUAUCAUGUUCUAAUCGUGAUGACCACCCCUGUGUGUCAAAAAAAAGGAGCAUGAAGCCCCCAGUAAGCAGACAUCCAUGUUGAUGCACUGGCAUUCUGUGGGCUUCCUUUACAAGAGCCAGCUGCACAAUCUCUGUAAAGUAAAUUUUUAAAUAAGACCUGAAAUUAAAGCAUGCCAAUCACGGGCCCGCAACUGGAAUAUCUGAUUAAUAAAAAAAAUUAUGCCUGAUUCAAUUCAACUCACUAAGGACCAUUCCUCCAGAGAUGGUGGACACCCCACACAUUUCACUACCUGUAAGGCGUUGGCUGUGGUGGUUUCGUGGAGCCCUUCACAGCAUACAGCUUACUGUGAAUUCCUCACAGCAGAAGUAGAGUGGAGGAUAGCAGAUGCCAAUUGUGUCAUGUCACCAAGCCCAUUAUGUAGGUUUCUGCCAGCUUUAAGGGACAGACAGACACCCAUCAUGAGACAGGGCUUGACAAGAAGCCAGUCCGCUAAUUAAUAGACAUGUUUCAACUACAUGCUCUUGAUCUACAGAAAGGCUACUGAUCAGAGUCCCACGAGUGACCAUACCAACUCAAGCAAGUGGCAUUGAAGACUAGGCAGCCACACCUGUGUCUAUGAUACCUGUUGGUAGAGGUGUGUCCAUCAACACCUCUGGUAAAGCCUUGGUGUAAUUCUGAGGUCCAUUACUCAGUGAGAGAUAUACAGUGUUUUGUUUAGAUACUAUCUUUGAGUAGAAGUUUGAAAAGUUCAAUUUGGCCCUGGGAUUUUGUGAUUCAAUAAUAUGAGGCGUGCUAUUUCAAGAGAAGUAUGUACAUAAAAAAGACAUGAUACAUAAGAAAGAAGAAAGACACACCUAUUUGUAAAGAGGUAGUAUAAUAAGCCAAGGACAGCUAAUGCUUUUGCUAGCUGAAAAGCAAGACUACUUGUGAACUGGAAGCAAAACAGGAUGUAGGCUGUAACCCUCUUUCAUACUGAGUAUAUUAGUAGCUGUAUUUAAGAGAGUUGCUCAUUAAUAAAAGGAAAAAUGCAUCAGCUAACAAGUUGUGAGAUACACCUUGAUUAAUAGAUGUUUCUAAUCCCUUUAGAACUUACUUUCAGGUAAAAUCCCAAGUUCAAUAUUAAAUCUAAAGUUUAUUAUUAUGUAGUUUUGCUUGACCCAUUAAAUUCUACAUGUAUUCUAAUUCUUCUUUUCCAUUCUGUGGUAAAUGUAGGAUCCUGAUUUAAUUAUUUAAUAUGGAAUGAUUGUCCUGAAUAAGGAGCAUAGAUGAGAAUAAAGGGAAGUUUGCAGUCUUUUGUUUGUAGACACUAGCUGAUAGAACUCAAAAUGAAUAAUAGUCACACACCUAAAUCAGGUAGCACCCCCCAUGUAUGGACCAACCAAGGGAAGGUAGUGUGAUUCGCAGGACCUUCAGUGGUGCUCUUGGUGUUAUGGUUGAGCUCAGCAUACCCAGGAGUAGUUCUUUGGGGUGGCCCAAUACAUGAGCCUAUGAGUGUUUCAGAGGUGGGAGAUAGUAGCUUCAUUAUGUUUCUUGGAGCCACCUUUGGCAUGAAUGAAUUAAAUAAAAGUGGGCCAUACAAAAACUAGAUAUGAAUUCGAUCCAUCCAAAACAGAGAUGUUGAACUAUCCACAGGGUACCUUGGAGUACCUUGUGGAAGUAGUAUGAUCUAAAUAUCUCAAUGGACAAAGAGCCCCAGCCCAAAGAUCUUGUUCUGGGGACUCUGUUUUGUUAAUUGUCAGUCAGUCAGUUAGUAAGUGAAGCAAACACCCGGCAUGGGCCAAUGAUGAGGAGCAUGGGGUUUCUGAACGAGGACAGUGAUUAAACCCUUAUGAAAUCUGAGGACUAUUGCAAAGUGGUGUCUGCAGCCUGUAGAGACGAGUCCCCAAAGCCCGAUCUUUGUGGAUUCGUGGCACAACCCACAUUGCUGUAUUAAAAUUAACCGUGAAUAAAGAAAAAAAGUCGAUGAAUGAAAAAUAAGCAAGAUAAGACUGGGCAAGAUCACACACGCCUGCAACCCUAACUUCCAGGGCAUUGAAGCCAUGGCAUUGGGAGAUUGAGGCCAGCCAAGAUCGCAUUCCUCCCAAAAAACAAAACCAACCCAAAACAAAAUAAAGCGACAAAACAAUUAAAAAAUUAGGGCAGAUGGGAUGGCUCUACAUAUCAAGGCAUUUGUGACCAUGCCUGAUGGUCUAAAUUCCAUCCCUGAAACACUCAUGGAGAAGAACAGACUCCUUCAAGUUGUCCUCUGACCUCUACACAUAUGCCCCCUUACACACACUUUAAAUGAGCAAACUAAUUCAUAUAAAGCAAAAAAAGAAGAGAAGCUAAAUGUGUAUAUGUACUUUUUAAAGCAUUUAAUGCAUUGCAGCUUGUUAUUUAUUUUGAGUUCAUCAGUUUAGGUGACUAGCUGUCUUAGAGGUCAUGCGAUUUGAUGAUUGCAAAAGGAGGCAAGUUGAGGUGAGGCUGCCCCGUGUCAAGGAAAAGAACACAUACCCCUGUAACUAGUGACUAGAGGGACAACACUUACACACAGAGCAAAGAUGAGACGUCACACACACCACCAGUGAUAAAGUCUAGGCAUUUUUCUUGAAAUAAACACACACCAAGUCAAAUAUGAUUGUGUUUUUUGAGCAUUGACAUAGGAAAAACAUAAAUACCACUCAGAGCACUGAUCCAGUAUGGAUGGACACACAUCUAGUUCAGUAUAAUUAAGAAGGAAGGGACAUAUUCCUAAAUUUGUAUCUCAACCAGUAGUUUUUUUUAAUUCAGCAAAUUGUGUACCAGUGGAAAAUAUUCUGCCACUGGGAUCUUUACACUAUCUACUUCUGAAACCCAUAAGAAGACAUCUUGUUAGUGUUCCAGUGUUGGUUUGAUGGUUGUAAAAUUCUUCUAGAAAAAUUAUCCCAUGAGAAAUUAAACACCUCAGUUAGUGAGUGAAGUAAACAGGGCCAGGUUGGGCGGGGAUAGUUAAGUCAAUCAGGUGCUUGCCUUGGAAUUAAGGGGAACUUAUUUCUAUCCCCAGAGCUCAUGUAAAUUAAAAAAGCUUGCAUGUGAUGGUGUGUAUGGGUAAUCCCAUUGCUGGGAAGGCUGUAGCGUGUGUGUGAUGGUGUAUAUGGGUAGUCCCAGUGUUUCAGAGGCAGUUGUGGGUGUGUGAUGGUGUGUAUGGGUGACCCCCUGUUGCAGAGACCGUGGUGUGUGUGUGAUGGUGUGUGUGUGAUGGUGUGUGUGUGUGACCUUCUUACUGGGGAGGCAGUGUGUGUGGGUGAUCCCCGUGCUGCAGAGGCAGUGGUGAGUGUGUGAUCAUGUGUACUGGUGACCCCAUUGCUGGGGAGGCAGAGGUGGGUGAAUCUUUAGAGCUUGCUGGCUCGUCAGCUCAAGACCAGUGAGAGAUCUGACCUCAUCAAGCAUGAUGGUUAGCUUCUGAGGACCAGCAUCCAAGGUGCCUCUCACACACACACACACACACACACACACACACACACACACACACACACGAGCCUGCAUGUGUGUGCAUCUGCACAAAUAACACAUAUAAACACACACUUAUCCAGGAAAAUUAAGUUUGGACCAUCACAGAGAUUAUACCAUAUGGUAAAUCUCUCAUCUCCAGUUUUGCACAACAUCCAACUGAAAGGACAACUUUGCUCUUAUGUAUGUUGGUAACAAACACACCAGAUGGUCCUAAUAAUUAGAGUUAUUUUUCUUUUUUUUAACUGCUGGGUUCAGUGGUCUUCAUGACAUUCUUUUAAAUAAAAACUUAUGCAGGUUCAUAAAUAUACAGUGCUGUUCUCACUUCUAAACCCCAUAAGAUAAUAAAUAUAAAGGACUUCUGCUUUCCCAAGUGUUCCGACCGGAACGCAAACCAACAUUUAUGGCUAAUUGAUCACCCCCAACUGUGGUUCCUCCUCAGAAGCUAAAUGACACUAAUUCAUUUCAAUAUCUGCCUUCUACUCCUCAGAAUGAGCACGGCUGAUAUGACUUCAUGAUUACCUCCUGGGGAAGAUCUUGCCUGUGUACCUCUGCCUAAGAAAAAGAAGACACAGAAUGAUUGUCCAUCAGAUGACUUCGGUCUGCUAUAAACACUGGACCACGCUCAAACUCUACACUUAAACUCCGUGUAUACAGAAGGUCCAAAUCUGUGUGAGUAAUAUUCAAAAUUGUUGUCUUCUUUUCCUCAAAGAGAUGCUCUAUGUUAUUAUAGAGUAUAGAAUGUGUCUGAACAAGGGAUUCAGCACUUUUACAGUUAAACAACAGACAUGCACAUAUUACUAGAGAAGAGAAAGGCUAGGAUGGACCGAUGAUGACUAAAGCUCGGCGGCGUUAUAAGUCAUGGAUUGACGAUGACUACAUACUUGGUGUCUGAGGUUCUCAGCAUAACACAGCUCAAGCGACAAAGGUUAUACAUGAAUCAGGCACUUUCAUGCAUUCCUUAGUGGAUUAAUGAAACAUGAUAUAACACAAAUAGAUUAAUUGAGGCAUUGAUUUAUUAGAAAAUGAAUAUUUGAUCACAAACACUACUACUACAUGGAAAACAAUCUUCAAGUCAGUUAAGAAAUAAUUGACAUAAAGAUGUAUAUGAACUUCAUUCAAGUUCGCAUAUGAUUUAUAGUUAACGAAUUAAGCUCUAGUGAGGCUCACACCUCAAUUUUAAAUCUUACUUCAAUUAUUAAGACACCAUCAUAACAAAUUGAAACCUCACUAGCAAGUAGUGAAAGGAAAAUGUAGAAAUGAUUGAAUAAUACCAAUCUUUUUAUUACCUUCCCUGCUAUGUUCUCCCUGGAUGAAUGCUGAGUGACACGUUGUUUCCUGGCUGGGAGGUCCAUGGUUGCCCUGUCCUCAUGUGUGAGGAUCAAGAGAAUUGAUAAGCUACCCUUCCAUCUGCAUCAUGAGGUCCAUGGAGAGUCUAGGGUCUUGGGAUCACGGGGGCCAUUGCUCAUCCCUCCGACAGCUUCAGUCUGCUUUAAACACUGGGCCAUGCUCAAACUCUACACUUAAUCUCCGUGUUUACAGAAGACCCAAAUCUGUGUGAGUAAUAUUCAAAAUUGUUGUCUCUAUUCCUCAAUGGGAUGCUCUAUGCUCUUACAGAGUAUAUAAUGCAUCUGCAUAAAGGAUUCACUUAUCCUGAAAACAAAAGAAAAUAACAGGCACUUUUACAGUUAAACAACAAACAUGCACAUAGUACUCGAGAAGAGAAAGGCUAGGAUGGACCGAUGAUGACCAAGGUGAGCGGCGUUAUAAGUCAUGGAUUGACGAUGACUACAUACUUGCUGUCUGAGGUUCUCAGCAUAACACAGCUCAUGUGCCCCUCUUAGUCAGGUGACAAAAGUGAGGCUUGUGGGGCACAUACUGGACAUUAGAAUCAGGCACUUUCAUGAAUUUCCUUAGUGGAUCAAUGAGCAUGAUAUCAUACAAAUACAUUUAUUGAGGCAUUGACCUAUUCCAAAAUAAAUAUUUAAUUACAAACUAUACUAUUACAUCCAAAAGAAUCUGGAAGUAGGUUAAGAAAUAAUUGAACUUCAUUCCAGUUCAUGUGAUUUAUAAUAAAUGAAUUAAUCCCUACCAAGGAUCAACACUCAAUUUAAAUCUUACUUGGUUUAUUAAGUCACCAUCAUAACAAUUUGAAAUGGAAGUAACAGUCAGGAAAGGGAAAAUGUAGAAAGGAUUUGAACAUAACAAUCUUUUUAUUACUUUAUGUGCUUCCUUCUCCCUGGAUGGAUGCUGAGUAAUACAUUGUUUCCUGACUGGGAUGUGCAUGGUUGCACUGUCCCCAUGUGUGAGGAUCAAGAGAACUGAUAAGCUACCCUUCCAUCUGCAUCAUGAGGUCCAUGGAGAGUCUAGGGUCUUGGGAUCACGGGGGCCAUUGCUCAUCCCUCCGACAGCUUCAGUCUGCUUUAAACACUGGGCCAUGCUCAAACUCUACACUUAAUCUCCGUGUUUACAGAAGACCCAAAUCUGUGUGAGUAAUGUCCAAAAUUGUUGUCUCUGUUCCUCAAUGGGAUGCUCUAUGCUCUUACAGAGUAUAUAAUGCAUCUGCAUAAAGGAUUCACUUAUCCUGAAAACAAAAGAAAAUCAUAGGCACUUUUACAGUUAAACAACAAACAUGCACAUAAUACUCGAGAAGAGAAAGGCUAGGAUGGACCGAUGAUGACUAAUGCUCGGCGGCGUUAUAAGUCAUGGAUUGACGAUGACUACAUACUUGGUGUCUGAGGUUCUCAGCAUAACACAGCUCAUGUGCCCCUCUUAGUCAGGUGACAAAAGUGAGGCAUGUGGGGCACAUACUGGACAUUAGAAUCAGGCACUUUCAUGCAAUUUCUUAGUGAUCAAUUAAACAUCAUAUAAACAUACAUAUAAAUGUAGAUCCAUUUAUUGAGACAUAGAUUACUUAGAAAUUAAAUACUGGACCACAAAUGGAAUAACUACAUUCAGGAAAUCUGGAAUUCAGUUAAGAAAUAAUAGACAUAAACAUGCAUAUAAUCUUCAUCCAAGUUCACAUAUGAAGCAUAAUUAAUGGAUUAAAUCCCAGUGAGUGUCAAAACCUCAAUUUUCAAUCUUUUCUACUUGAUCCUUUAAGAAACCACCAUAACAACUUGAAUCCUUACUAACAAGUAGUGAAAGGAAAAUGUAGAAAUGAUUUGAAUAAAACCAGUCUUUUUAUUACUGUCCCUUCUUUGUUCUCCCUGGAUGGAUGCUGAGUGACACAUCUUUUUGCUGGCUGGGAGGUCCAUGGUUGCCCUGUGCCCAUGUGUGAGCAUUAAGAGAACUGAUAGGAAGGCUCGCUAACAUCUGCAUCAUGAGGUCCAGGACUAGCCUAGGGUCUUGGGAGCUCAGGAGGCCAUUGCUCAUCCCUGGGAAGCAAUGGCUUUGGUCUGCUUAAAACACUGGACCACGCUCAAACUCUGCACUUAAUCACCGUGUUUACAAAAGACCAAAUCUGUGUGAGUAAUAUUCAAAAUUGUUGUCUCUAUUCCUCAAUUGGAUGCUCUAUGCUCUUACAGAGUAUAUAAUGCAUCUGCAUAAAGGAUUCACUUAUCCUGAAAAACUAAAGAAAAUCUUAGGCACUUUUACAGUUAAACAACAAUCAUGCACAUAGUACUCGAGAAGAGACAGGCUAGGAUGGACCGAUGAUGACUAAUGCUCGGCGGCGUUAUAAGUCAUGGAUUGACGAUGACUACAUACUUGGUGUCUGAGGUUCUCAGCAUAACACAGCUCAUGUGCCCCUCUUAGUCAGGUGACAAAAGUUAGGCAUGUGGGGCACAUACUAGACAUUAGAAUCAGGAACUUUCAUGCAUUUCCUUAGUGGAUCAAUGAAACAUCUUAUAAACAUACAUAUAGAUAUAUAUAUCCAUUUAUUGAGGCAUAGAUUACUUAGGAAUUAAAUAUUGGAUCACAAAUGGCAUUACUACAUCCAGGAAAUCUGGAAGUCCGUUAAGAAAUGAUUGACUUAAUCAUGCAUAUGUAUUUCCUCCAAGUCCACAUGUGACGUAUAAUUAAUGCAUUAAGCCACAGUGGUGGCCAACACCUCAAUUUUAAAUCUUACUUGUCUCUUUAAGACACUAUCAACAGUUUGAAUCCUAACUAGCAAGUAGUGAGAUGGAAAAUGUACAAAGGAUUUGAAAAAUUCCAAUUUUUUUAUUGCUUUUUGUGCUUCUUUUUCCAUGUAUGGAUACUGAGUGACACAUUGUUUUCCUGGCUGAGAGAUCCAUGGUUGCCCUGUCCCUAUGUGUGAGGAUUAAGAGAACUGAUAACGCAUGCUUCCAACUGCAUCAUGAGGUCCAUGACUGGCUUAGUGUCAUGGAGCUCGGGAGGCCAUUGCUCAUCCCUCAGAAGCAAUGGCUUUGGUCUGCUUAAAACACUGGACCACGCUCAAAUUCUGCACUUAAUCUUCGUGUUUACAGAAGACCCAAAUCUGUGUGAGUAAUAUUCAAAAUUGUUGUCUCUAUUCCUCAAUGGGAUGCUCUAUGCUCUUACAGAGUAUAUAAUGCAUCUGCAUAAAGGAUUCACUUAUCCUGAAAACAAAAGAAAAUAACAGGCACUUUUACAGUUAAACAACAAACAUGCACAUAGUACUCGAGAAGAGACAGGCUAGGAUGGACCGAUGAUGACUAAUGCUCGGCGGCGUUAUAAGUCAUGGAUUGACGAUGACUACAUACUUGGUGUCUGAGGUUCUCAGCAUAACACAGCUCAUGUGCCCCUCUUAGUCAGGUGACAAAAGUGAGGCAUGUGGGGCACAUACUGGACAUUAGAAUCAGGCACUUCCAUGCAUUUCCAUAGUGGAUCAAUGAAGCAUCAUAUAAACAUACAUAUAGAUAUAUAUCCAUUUAUUGAGGCAUAGAUUACUUAGGAAUUAAAUAUUGGAUCACAAAUGGCAUUACUACAUUCAGGAAAUCUGGAAGUCAUUUAAGAUAUAAUUGACAUAAAGAUGAAUAUAAACUUCAACCAAGUCCACAAAUGACAUAUAAUUAAUGCAUUAAGCCACAGUGGUGGUCAACACAUCAAUUUUAAAUCUUACUUUCUUCUUUAAGACACUACCAACAAUUUGAAUCCUACGUAGCAAGUAGUGAGAGGGAAAAAAUAGAAAGGACGUGAAAAAUUCCAAUCUUUUUAUUACUUUCUGUGCUUUGCUCUCCCUGGAUGGAUGCUGAGUGACACGUUGUUUCCUGGCUGGGAGGUCCAUGGUUGCCCUGUCCCCAUGUGUGAGGAUUAAGAGAAUUGAUAGGAAGGCAUGUUUCCAUCUGCAUCAUGAUGUUCACGACUAGCCUAGGGUCUUGAGAGCUCAGGAGGCCAUUGCUUAUCCCUUGGAAGCAAUGGCUUUGGUCUCCUUAAAACACUGGCCCACGAUCAAACACUGCACUUAAUCUCCGUGUUUACAGAAGACUCAAAUCUGUGUGAGUAAUAUUCAAAAUUGUUGUCUCUAUUCCUCAAUGGGAUGCUCUAUGCUCUUACAGAGUAUAUAUGCAUCUGCAUAAAGGAUUCACUUAUCCUGAAAACAAAAGAAAAACAUAGGCACUUUUACAGUUAAACAACAAACAUGCACAUAGUACUCGAGAAGAGAAAGGCUAGGAUGGACCGAUGAUGACUAAUGCUCGGCGGCGUUAUAAGUCAUGGAUUGACGAUGACUACAUACUUGGUGUCUGAGGUUCUCAGCAUAACACAGCUCAUGUGCCCCUCUUAGUCAGGUGACAAAAGUGAGGCAUGUGGGGCACAUACUGGACAUUAGAAUCAGGCACUUCCAUGCAUUUCCUUAGUGGAUCACUGAAGUAUCAUAUAAACAUACAUAUAGAUAUAUAUCCAUUUAUUGAGGCAUAGAUUACUUAGGAAUUAAAUAUUGGACCACAAAUGGCAUUACCACAUUCAGGAAAUCUGGAAGUCUGUUAAACAAUAAUUGACAUAAUCAUGCAUAUGUAUUUCCUCCAAGUCCACAUGUGACGUAUAAUUAAUGCAUUAAGCCACAGUGGUGGCCAACACCUCAAUUUUAAAUAUUACUUCCUUCUUUAAGACACUAUCAACAGUUUGAAUCCUAACUAGCAAGUAGUGAGAUGGAAAAUGUGGAAAGCAUUUAAAAAUUCCAAUCUUUUUAUUACUUUCUGUGCUUUGCUCUCCCUGGAUGGAUGCUGAGUGACACGUUGUUUUCCUGGCUGGGAGGUCCAUGGUUGCCCUGUGCCCAUGUGUGAAGAUUAAGAGAGCUGAUAGGAAGUCACGCUUCUAUCUGCAUCACGAUGUCCACAACUAGCCUAGGGUCUUGGAAGCACAGGAGGCCAUUGCUCAUCCCUGGGAAGCAAUGGCUUUGGUCUGCUUAAAACACUGGACCACGCUCAAACUCUGCACUUAUCUCUGUGUUUACAGAAGACCCAAAUCUGUGUGAGUAAUAUUCAAAAUUGUUGUCUCUGUUCCUCAAUGGGAUGCUCUAUGCUCUUACAGAGUAUAUAAUGCAUCUGCAUAAAGGAUUCACUUAUCCUGAAAACAAAAGAAAAUCAUAGGUACUUUUACAGUUAAACAACAAACAUGCACAUAGUACUCGAGAAGAGAAAGGCUAGGAUGGACCGAUGAUGACUAAUGCUCGGCGGCGUUAUAAGUCAUGGAUUGACGAUGACUACAUACUUGGUGUCUGAGGUUCUCAGCAUAACACAGCUCAUGGGCCCUCUUAGUCAGGUGACAAAAGUGAGGCAUGUGGGGCACAUACUGGACAUUAGAAUCAGGCACUUCCAUGCAUUUCCAUAGUGGAUCAAUGAAGCAUCUUAUAAACAUACAUAUAGAUAUAUAUCCAUUUCUUGAGGCAUAGAUUACUUAGAAAUUAAAUAUUGGACCACAAAUGGCAUUACUACAUUCAGGAAAUCUGGAAGUCUGUUAAGCAAUGAUUGAUAUAAUCAUGCAUAUAAAUUUCCUCCAAGUCCACAUGUGACGUAUAAUUAAUGCAUUAAGCCACAGUGGUGGCCAGCACCUCAAUUUUAAAUCUUAUUUGCUCCUUUAAGACACUAUCAACAGUUUGAAUCCUAACUAGCAAGUAGUGAGAGGGAACAUGUGGAAAGCAUUUGAAAAAUUCCAAUCUUUUCUUUACCUUCCGUGCUCUGUUCUCCCUGGAUGGAUGCUGACUGACACGUUGUUUCCUGGCUGGGAGGUCCAUGGUUAUCCGGUCCCCAUGUGUGAAGAUUAAGAGAACUGAUAGUAAGGCUCGCUUCUAUCUACAUCACGAUGUCCAUGACUAGCCUUGGGUCUUGGGAGCUCAGGAGGCCAUUGCUCAUCCCUGGGAAGCAAUGGCUUUGGUCUGCUUAAAACACUGGACCACGCUCAAACUCUGCACUUAAUCACCGUGUUUACAAAAGACCAAAUCUGUGUGAGUAAUAUUCAAAAUUGUUGUCUCUAUUCCUCAAUUGGAUGCUCUAUGCUCUUACAGAGUAUAUAAUGCAUCUGCAUAAAGGAUUCACUUAUCCUGAAAACAAAAGAAAAUCAUAGGUACUUUUACAGUUAAACAACAAACAUGCACAUAGUACUCGAGAAGAGAAAGGCUAGGAUGGACCGAUGAUGACUAAAGCUCGGCGGCGUUAUAAGUCAUGGAUUGACGAUGACUACAUACUUGGUGUCUGAGGUUCUCAGCAUAACACAGCUCAUGGGCCCUCUUAGUCAGGUGACAAAAGUGAGGCAUGUGGGGCACAUACUGGACAUUAGAAUCAGGCACUUCCAUGCAUUUCCAUAGUGGAUCAAUGAAGCAUCUUAUAAACAUACAUAUAGAUAUAUAUCCAUUUCUUGAGGCAUAGAUUACUUAGAAAUUAAAUAUUGGACCACAAAUGGCAGUACUACAUUCAGGAAAUCUGGAAGUCCCUCAAGCAAUAAUUGACAUAAUCAUGCAUAUAAAUUUCCUCCAAGUCCACAUGUGACGUAUAAUUAAUGCAUUAAGCCACAGUGGUGGCCAGCACCUCAAUUUUAAAUCUUAUUUGCUCCUUUAAGACACUAUCAACAGUUUGAAUCCUAACUGGCAAGUAGCGAUAGGUAAAUGUGGAAUUGACUUGAAAAAUUAUUAUCUUUUUAUUACCUUCCAUGUUUCCUUCUCCCUGGAUGGAUGCUGAGUGACACAUUGUUUCCCUGGCUGGGAGGUCCAUGGUUAUCCGGUCCCCAUGUGUGAGGAUAAAGAGAACUGAUUGCUCAUCCCUCAGAUGCAAUGGCUUUGGUCUGCUUUAAACACUGGGCCUCGCUCAAACUCUGCACUUAAUCUCCAUGUUUACAGAAGACCCAAAUCAGUGUCCAUGGUUAUCCGGUCCCCAUGUGUGAGGAUUAAGAGAACUGAUCCGAAGUUAAUCUUUCAUCUGCGUCAUGACGUCUGUGGCUAGCCUAGGGUCUUGGGAGCACGGGUUGCCAUGCAUUUGCUCUAUUAUUGGAAGAGAAGAAAGGAACAGUAUGUAAAACUACAAUGAGCAGAUGGCAGAAGAAUCCUCCAGUGCUGUUUGACUUUGAAGAAUUAAAAAUGGAUUCCGCCCCCACGCUGAUUUUCACACUCUCCCUUGGUCAUGAGCCUCCUAAUGAGCUGUUUCAGACUGUAAUAUAGACACAGUAACGAAAACCUCCAAGAUGAUUCACACGUUCUUCCUUAGUCCUGUGUUUUGAUGUUCGCUGUUUUUAUAUGAAAGAUAGAGACCAUAGUGGAUGCCCUGCAAGCUGACGUUACACAGUCUUACUUGCACCUCAACCUCUUGAUCCAGCCUAUGUGUUCGUAGGAUAGACAACGUAAUGGAUUCCCCCAAGUUUGCUUACAAACUCCCCCUUGGUCGUGAGCUUCACGAUGAACUCGUUGGGUUCAGAAUGUAGAUACCAUGAUGGAAUCCCCAAAGCUGAUUUGCUACAUUCUCCUUUUCUUGUGAGCUUCAUGAUGUGAAACUUAUGAUCAAAGUAUAGACACCGAGAAGAAUUUCCCUCCAAAAAUGAUCUACACAUUCUUCUUUGGUUUGGGACACAGUGCAGAUACCCCCAAGCUGAUUUACACAUUCUCCGUUGGUCACAAGCUUCUUGACCUGCUGUUUGUGUUCUUAGGAUAGACAUAGUGAUGGAUUUCCCCACAAGGUGACUUACACAUUCUCCUUUCAUUGUGAUCUUCAUGAUCAUCUCUUUGGGGUUGCCAUAUAGACACAGUAAUGGACCUCCAAGUUGAUUUUCCUAAUUCUUCUUGGUCAUGAGCUCUGUGACCCACUGUUGGUAUUCAUAGGGUGGACAAAGUAAUAGAUGCCUUCCUCACUGGUCACCCGGUUGAUGGAACAUAGGAACACAGGGAUCGAUCAUAGAAGCUUUCAGAGUGAUGUUCAUAUUCUGGUUCCCGAGUCUACAGUUACCUUAAUGUGUCAAGAACACAGAGAUCAGUAAAGCCCAACUCCAGAACAAUGGAUGACUGCUGCCUGGUCCUGAGUUCUAAAGUUGCCAAUGCCAUCAGGGUCACAGCUACAAUCGGAUCAGGGAAGCCUAUGGAAGAGGAGGUGGAAAGAUUAUAAGAACCAGUGAGACUGGAAGACACCAAGGAAACAAGCCCUUCUAGACACAGCAGGACUGAUGCAGAUAUGAAUGAACUCAUACAGACUGUGGCAGCAUGCCCCGGGCCUGCACAAGUCUAAGCCAGAUGGGGUCCCAGCACUGAGAGGGGAAGUGGACAUAACCCCAUAUCCAUAACCCGGAUGCUAUCUCCAACUGAUAAACUCUCUCAAUGGAAACUCUAUUUUUCUCCCACGGACUCUCUCUGGAUAUAUAAACGACCUGUGGGAUGAGGCUCAUGCUCACAUCACCAACACAAAAUGAACUCCCAUGAACUCAAUGGCAUCCUUGGAAGCUUUUGUGACACACAAUGCUUUGUCUGGAUAUUGUUUUUUCCCUAUGGAUAUUUUGCUUAUAUAUUGUGGUUUCUGAUUUUAUUUUUUGUGAGUUUUCUGUAUGUGGGAAUGCAUGUAUCUUAGAGUCUGUAUUUGUUUCUUGUGAUUUUUCAUUCUAAUGAGAGAAUGAAAGAAUGGGUCGGGUUAGGGUGGGUAUGUAAAUGGGGAGGGUCUGGGGGGUGUUGGGAGGGGACACUAAUGCAAAUAUGUUGUAUGAAGAAGUGUGUUUUCAAUAAAAGAUAUUUCCUCUAUCACUAAAA